GGGACACGUGGUAUCCUGUCUGAAUAUGGGGGGACCAUCCUCCAAGGCUAAAUACUCCUGACUGACCGAUAGUGAACCAGUACCGUGAGGGAAAGGCGAAAAGAACCCCGGCGAGGGGAGUGAAAAAGAACCUGAAACCGUGUACGUACAAGCAGUGGGAGCACGCUUAGGCGUGUGACUGCGUACCUUUUGUAUAAUGGGUCAGCGACUUAUAUUCUGUAGCAAGGUUAACCGAAUAGGGGAGCCGAAGGGAAACCGAGUCUUAACUGGGCGUUAAGUUGCAGGGUAUAGACCCGAAACCCGGUGAUCUAGCCAUGGGCAGGUUGAAGGUUGGGUAACACUAACUGGAGGACCGAACCGACUAAUGUUGAAAAAUUAGCGGAUGACUUGUGGCUGGGGGUGAAAGGCCAAUCAAACCGGGAGAUAGCUGGUUCUCCCCGAAAGCUAUUUAGGUAGCGCCUCGUGAAUUCAUCUCCGGGGGUAGAGCACUGUUUCGGCAAGGGGGUCAUCCCGACUUACCAACCCGAUGCAAACUGCGAAUACCGGAGAAUGUUAUCACGGGAGACACACGGCGGGUGCUAACGUCCGUCGUGAAGAGGGAAACAACCCAGACCGCCAGCUAAGGUCCCAAAGUCAUGGUUAAGUGGGAAACGAUGUGGGAAGGCCCAGACAGCCAGGAUGUUGGCUUAGAAGCAGCCAUCAUUUAAAGAAAGCGUAAUAGCUCACUGGUCGAGUCGGCCUGCGCGGAAGAUGUAACGGGGCUAAACCAUGCACCGAAGCUGCGGCAGCGACACUAUGUGUUGUUGGGUAGGGGAGCGUUCUGUAAGCCUGUGAA
rnacentral:rRNA from 1 species